rnacentral:piRNA from 1 species
UUGGGCUUGUGCUGUGAGUUCUGUACUCCUU